UCCCUUCUCCUCCUCCACAAAUGGCUAUGAAAACCUGAAAGCGCAGCUUCUGCAGGGUGCAGAACAAGAUGGGAAGGGUCAUUUUGGCAGGGAGAAGACGUCACUGCCUGCAGCUCCUGGUUCCAGCAGGACCCGUGAGAUCUCAGGUGAUGCAGCUGUGCCAUAGACAGCACGACAGGAGCACAGCAGGGAUGAGAAACCCAGGCCAAACACGCCCAUGUAGACUGCCAGGCAUGGCUCAGCUGACCUUGUCCCCAUGGAGCUCAUCCAUCCCAUCCACAGAGGAGUAAUUGUCGAGAUAAUGUCAGAUCCCACUGUGAAGCCAGAUCCAGUAAAGAGCAGUAAUGUUGUUUUCUAAUUUGUUUGAAAUCCUAAAGCACUCCCUCAUCUGAGCAGAGAUACCUAAAUGGCACCUAUUUGGCACUGGGUGUAAUUCUUUGCUCUAAUGGCAUGCUUGACAGUAUCUGUGUACUUACCUGGAGCAGCACAAGCCUCCUGCACCUAAAUGAAAUACACACAGCAGGUUUGAAGAUGAACACAGGAGAUGCUUGAAUGCCUUUUAGACAACUGUAAUUCAGGCCAUAAACAUAAUAUAGAUUGCAAUAUUGUAUAUAAAGGAGUGCUUCAAGUACCAGCCUUUGUGUUCUGCAAUUCAGUCCAAUUGAUUCCUGACCUAACACAAUGCUCUACCCGAAACUGUUGCAUAAACAUAACAAAUCCAUCACCAAAUCAGUGAAGGAGGUGCAGAAGAGGUGUGGCAGCUAUCUGGUGUGAUGUGGCUCCCAUCAGCCGCCGCCCGUGUGCUGGUAUUCCAUGGAGAGCACCAGGAGAAAUGAGAAUGGGUAAAGGACGGCUCCUCAUCCGUAUCAGCGAGCACACGCCCGCCCUUCUCUCUGCUGAAAUCAGGCACAGUUUGCAUUGUGGAGCACCUGCACCUCGGAACAAAAUGACAUUUCUGGAUUUCUCUGGAUUCCUGCAAAGCGGGACUUUUUGCUGCCCGGUUAAUGGGAAUUUUGUCAGUCAUGCUUACUAGAAACAAUAAAGGGAUAAUAAAUAGUGCAGUCUGUGGACAGCAACAGGCUCCGACAAUCCAUUAACCAACAAGACGUGUUGCACAUUCCAGCUUAUUAGACGCAUAUCCAUAAUAUAUUUUAACAAUCUCUCCCUGGC